UACGAAGGGGGCUAGCGUUGCUCGGAAUUACUGGGCGUAAAGCGCACGUAGGCGGCUUUCUAAGUCGGGGGUGAAAUCCUGGAGCUCAACUCCGGAACUGCCUUCGAUACUGGAAAGCUCGAGUCCGGGAGAGGUGAGUGGAACUGCGAGUGUAGAGGUGAAAUUCGUAGAUAUUCGCAAGAACACCAGUGGCGAAGGCGGCUCACUGGCCCGGUACUGACGCUGAGGUGCGAAAGCGUGGGGAGCAAACAGG
rnacentral:rRNA from 1 species